GCUUUGGAUUUUCUUUUAUUUUUUUCUGUUAUUGUUUAUGAUUUGGGUAUUUGAUAUGUCCUUCUUUUUUGUCCUUCUUUGCAGUGUUGAAAGAAAGGAAGCUUUAUAGAGGAAGUAUGCGAAAAAUGGGUUCUUUGAAAGAAAGGAAGCUUUAUAGAGGAAGUAUGCGAACAAUGGGUUCUUCAUCAGCUGAAGAUAUUCCAGCAAUGCAGGGUGAUGAGGGUUUGCUUCAUUUCCAGUGGCUUGAUAGGAAUUUGAAUACUAUGGAAGAUGUAUCCUAGUUAUUAUUAUGUUUUUGAGCCUGGGGAUUUUGUUUCUCUCUUCCAACAUUGGUUUUUAUUUCUUUUUCUGUUGUUUGUUUUGUUAAUGUUCUUUUAUGGUGAGAACUUGGUAGCUUUUUCUUGACGUGUUGAUUGAUAGCAUCAAAUUAUUUUUUUUCUGAAGAGGUUGUUUUUGAGAAGGUUAAUCAAGCUUUGGGAAGAGUUUACAUCUUGAAAUUCAAUACAGAUGAUCGAAAGUUUUUCAUUUGGAUGCAGAUCAGGAGCCAAAGCUAAAGAUGAUUCACAAUUGUGUAGCUCUGUCAACUAUUAUAUUAAUCGUCCAUUUGGUAAAUACUUUUGUGUUUUCAGUCCUUUGUUAGCCAUGCUACUCUUCAUUAUUUUGUUCCUAAUCAUCCUGGCUUAUAUUUAUAUUCAUCCCCCUAUGUCCUUGCACAGACUUGCCCUCGGGGUAAAUUCUAAAACUUGGGGCAUCUUUUAUAUGGAAAUUUAGAGUAAUAACUUGGUGUUUGUCAAUGUAUAUACCUGUUGAUUCUUGUGAUUCAUUGUAAAAUAACUUUAAAAAGGUUAAGGAGCACUUUUAUUACCAAAAAGAAAUGGCCCAGAAUAAAUUAUGUGGCCAUUUUCUUUUAUUCUGAUGAGAAAGAUUUUUGCUCAUCACUCUCAGGACUGGAAACUUAGUUGUCCCAGACCUUGGUGCAGAAGUAAUGAGUGAUGUAACCUCUUCAUCAGGACCAGUGAAAUUGGAAGACUUGCAAAGAAUCCUGAGUAAUAUUGGUGGUGGAGGUAUGUUCUGCUCAGAUAGUGCAAUUGACCACAUCCUUGUUUGUUGUACUUAGGCUGGCCCACGUGAUGUGAUGAUACAUGUUGUAGGUAGUUCGGGUGAUCCAGAUGAAGGCUUAGGAUAUACUGAAGCCUGAUUUGAUAAUGCCAUUGAAUGAGACAUUGCCACUUGAAGAAGGAUUAACAUCUCAUUUACCUGAGGUAUAAGACAGUCUUAUGUUUAGGAUUUCCUUUGUGUUUUAUGUCGGUGCAUUCUGAGGUAAUUAUGAGGUUGCAGGGUCACUGGACUCCAGAGGAUAUUUUAGACUUGUUGAAGAGUCCUCCUUUCCGUCAGCACGUGAAUUCUUCUACUUAUGUUCUCCGAACUGGACAAAUAGAUUUGUCUCAAGUUGGGAUCAACCCCAGUAAAUCUGAGUGGUUUGUGGCCCCAGAACCUGUAAAUAGAUUUUACAAGGUUUACUCAUGUUCAUCAGCAUUAACUAAAGUCUUUAGUUAAUUCUUUAUUGGGAAAUUCUGAUUAGGGUUGAUUAUGUAACUAAUGAUUAUAGAA